rnacentral:tRNA from 1 species
AACAUAUUGUUAUGAAUGAAUGACGUCUGACUGUUAAUCAGAGGGUCGCUGGUUCGAGCCCAGCAGAGGGAGCCA